rnacentral:rRNA from 1 species
GACGAACGCUGGCGGCGUGCUUAACACAUGCAAGUCGAACGGAAAGGCCCUGCUUUUGUGGGGUGCUCGAGUGGCGAACGGGUGAGUAACACGUGAGUAACCUGCCCUUGACUUUGGGAUAACUUCAGGAAACUGGGGCUAAUACCGGAUAGGAGCUCCUGCUGCAUGGUGGGGGUUGGAAAGUUUCGGCGGUUGGGGAUGGACUCGCGGCUUAUCAGCUUGUUGGUGGGGUAGUGGCUUACCAAGGCUUUGACGGGUAGCCGGCCUGAGAGGGUGACCGGCGACAUUGGGACUGAGGUACGGCCCAGACUGCUACGGGAGGCAGAAGUGGGGAGUAUUGCACAAUGGGCGGAAGCCUGAGGCAGCAACGCCGCGUGCGGGAUGACGGCCUUCGGGUUGUAAACCGCUUUCGCCUGUGACGAUGCGUGAGUGACGGUAAUGGGUAAAGAAGCACCGGCUAACUACGUG